CGAGCUACCAUCGUGACGAUC
rnacentral:miRNA from 1 species